UAGGGAAUCUUCGGCAAUGGGGGGAACCCUGACCGAGCAACGCCGCGUGAGUGAAGAAGGCUUUCGGAUCGUAAAGCUCUGUUGUUAAGGAAGAACGAGUGUGAGAAUGGAAAGUUCAUGCUGUGACGGUACUUAACCAGAAAGGGACGGCUAACUACGUGCCAGCAGCCGCGGUAAUACGUAGGUCCCGAGCGUUGUCCGGAUUUAUUGGGGGUAAAGCGAGCGCAGGCGGUUAGAAAAGUCUGAAGUGAAAGGCAGUGGCUCAACCAUUGUAGGCUUUGGAAACUGUUUAACUUGAGUGCAGAAGGGGAGAGUGGAAUUCCAUGUGUAGCGGUGAAAUGCGUAGAUAUAUGGAGGAACACCGGUGGCGAAAGCGGCUCUCUGGUCUGUAACUGACGCCGAGGCUCGAAAGCGUGGGGAGCGAACAGG
rnacentral:rRNA from 1 species